GAGCCACAUGCUCCGAGACGCGAGGACGAAGGCAUUAGCCGAAGUCGGCGAGCCCAUGCUUCCGAGAAAGGCCUCUAGGGAGCUUUGUCGGCGCCCGUACCAAAACCGACACAGGUAGGCGGGUAGAACAUACCGAGGCGAUCGGGAGAACCAUGGUUAAGGAAACUCGGCAUACUGGCUUCGUAACUUCGGGAGAAGGAGCGCCCUUUUCCCGGUGAAGGCCCUCGCGGCCGGAGCGGGGAG
rnacentral:rRNA from 1 species